rnacentral:lncRNA from 1 species
UGAGUCAGCUCUUCUCAUCAAGUGGCCUAAGUAUGAAGCAUUCAGCAACCAACAAAAGGUUCAGUAUAACAGGAAAAGUAUGCAAGGAGCUCCGAAUAGCAAGACAGCAGGAGGAGGAACAGCCUGAUAAGGGUACAGUCCCAAGGACCUUACAUGCCAACCCAGGAAGAAGUAUGAAUUUUAACCUGAAAAUGAUAGGAAGUCAUUGCAUGACAUUUUCUGAGAAAAUGGCUUCUGUUCAACAGGACCAGAGGGGAUCAGGAACUUUAUGCAAAACAGAAACAAUCAGUGUACACAGGUUGGACAAGACUGUUGACUCUGAAAUAAACUGCUCUUUAAAAAAAUUUUGUUAUGUGCAUUUCAUUUGCUUUUUUGUUUGCUUUGUUUUGGUUUUUUGGCCUCCCAGCAUGUGGGAUCCUUAUUCCCGGACCAGGGAUUCGACCCACACCCCCUGCACUGGAAGUGUGAAGUCUUAACCACUGGACCACCAGGGAAGCCCCUGACAUAAACUGCUUUUAAUUUUCCUUGAUUUGUUUCUAACUUUAUCUCAGGAUUUCUCUACCCUAUAAUUUGGUCUUGCCCCAAAUUCUCAGAGUUUGAUAUGAAUGCAAAUUUUUAAUGACUAGAACUUUUUCUCCUCUGUCUCCUCUGCCAAUUUCUUCUUUUAUUUGAUGCUUUUAUCUCUCUAUGUCUAUUUCUUCCAAGUUUAUGCAUUUGAGAAUUAGCAUCAAACUUCUUCUCUGUGUUGAAAGGAAGUGAAAGUGUUAGUUGCUUCAGUCGUGUCCAGCUCUUUGUGACCCUAUGGACUAUAGCCUGCCAGNNNNNNNNNNNNNNNNNNNNNNNNNNNNNNNNNNNNNNNNUGAGUUGCCAUUUCCUUCUCCAGGGGAUCUUCCCCACCCAGGGAUUGAACAUGGGUCGCCUUCAUUGCAGGCAGAUUCUUAACCAUCUGAGCCACCAGGGAAGACUCUUAUUUGUGUUGUCAUGCUAUGAAAAAAUAAAGUUUAGACUGUAUCUCUAAAUAUAUAUUUGCAGGUUGGGUUUUUUGUGGGGGAGGGGUGGAGCAUGUUAGCAUUUUCUACAUGGUCUUACAGAGCACAGAGUGAGUAUGUGUGUGGUUGGAAGAAAAUAGAAAGGAAAUAAUAACCUCCCCACCCAACCUCACACUCCCAACACUUACCCUGUUUUGUCUCCUUAGACCUCAACACCAUCUGACAUAAUAUUCAUUUGUUUCUCUCUCCCCCCAUUCAAAUGAAAAUCCCAGAAAGGCAGAGCGGUUUGUUCCCAGUUAUAUCCCUAGUCUAAAAUGGAGCUCAGGCUAUUGAAGGCUCGCAGUAAUUAUUUGUCAUAUAAACAAAUGAAUUAGCAACAAAAACACAAAAGAAACAAUAACCUUAAGGAGAAUGACAGGCCUUUUUUUCCUCUAAAAUUUUCUCUACAAUUAUGAUAUCGUAUUUUACAACCAAUCAAAAAUGAAAGGAAAAAAAAUGCUUCUUAUUCAACCUGAAAAUGUUAAGUUCAAAUGCUGACAAGCUUUGUGAGACUAGCUGACUGGUCUGAAACAUGAGAGGAGGGUAAAGAUUAAAUGAUUUAUCUCAGGGAGAGGAGCAAGCAUGGGGGCCCCUGAGCAGGAUGACAGAAGGAAAGAGAAGUUCGUUUGACAAGACCAUAGAAUAUAUUUUUCCUUCUUUUAUUUUUUUCCUCUUUCUCUUCCUUUGAUGCAUAGCUGAUUCCUUUGUCUUAAAAUUAAUUGCAAUAAUCAGAAAAGAUCCUAAUUAAGAGCAAACUCUGUUUAAGCAGGGCGAGUAGAUUAUAACCCGGUUUGAAGGCAUGUGGCCUUUGGCUGGGGGAAGAAGUGAUUCUG